AGUAUUUAUGAAUUUAUGUGUGUAUAUGGAUGUUAUUUUGUUUAUUAUUAUCUAAAUCUCACUGGUCAAAUUGUUCCGGAAAUCGUGUGAAUAUUAGAGAACAUUUCUAUCCAAGGAAGUAUAAAACUUUUUGUACUGCCUUCGAGAGUCGGAUAACGGUACCACGUUAUUGUUUUUCGAGUUUUACAUAUAAACCAUAUGCAUUCGGAUUUAUAAACUAGCUUUUACUUCGAUACAUGAUGGAGUAUAAUAGAGAACUCAUUGGAUUUUGGUGGAAACCAAUGAACUCAAGUCCGAGUGAUCUAGCUUCCUAUACAAAGGUAUUGGU